GGAGAUUUGAAAGUCAAGAUAUUUAUUUUGUUGUUGGGGGAUUAGGCAUAAUAUAAGCAGAUUCUACCUGUCACUGUCAUAUCAUCAAAAAAUGAAGUGUUGGCUGAAUUUACAAUACAUAAUUACAUACAGCUGCCCAGUCAUAAUUUUAAUGCAUUUGCCUGAAGGAAGAGAACAGCUUCAAAUAUGGGUUAACAUGUACACUACACUGGUUAAUGGGCAGCAGAACAUAAUGCAGCAGUUGUGUGGUGCAGUUGGACAAAAUCUGGUUAAAUGUAGCCAAAGGAAAUACAUGUCCAAAAGCCCAUUCGUCAAACUGGACAAAGUUCCUUCUUCCUUGUUUGGUAUAUAAAGCUAGGAAGGUUUACAAUAGGUAAACAAUCACCCAUCUGACAAAACCUCAACAAACUCCGCUCUUCUCAUCCUCACUUUGUGCCUAUAUUCAUUCAAUGAACUGAAUUCCAAGCUUGGAUGAAGAUCUGCAUACAUCUAAGAGCUGAGACAAAUUCUUCAAUCAGCAAAGCUGAAGAAAUUUCAGAGACAGAGGAAGCACUCACGUUGACCAGGAGUGGGUACUCCCCUUAUCACAGCAGGAGGGCAUUUAUCAUUAACACCCACCAAGGAAAAGACAAAUAGCCCUCAACCAAGGCGCUGUGCAGAACAUUUCAUAUAAAAUCACUGCCAUCUAUACGGGCUACGUGAAAGAUUUUGCCAUGAAUGAAUCAAAGGUGAAUGGUGUUGAUGAGCGCAUUGCUUACGUAGACAUUUUUGAAGAAGUGAUUGCCUGGAUAAUUUUUUGUUUUGGGCUGCCAGCCAUCUGCUUGGCCAGUUAUGCCCUUUACCGUCUCAUCAAAGCUAACCAUGUUGCCCCCAUCUAUGUCAUCAACCUCCUCGUUUCAGAUCUUGUCCAGAUCAUCGUUCGUAUUUUUUUUAUGACGGACAGAUUUUUUGGUAUACAGUCCAAGGAAUAUAUUGUUACUUACAAUGUGUUGCUGGUUGUUGUCCGUUUUGGUCUCAUUGCCAGCCUUGAGUUCAUGGUGUGCAUCUCAUUGGAGAUGUAUCUGGUGGUCGUCCACCCUCUGUGGUAUCGCUACUAUCGCAAUAUUAAGCACUCAGUCCUGGCCUCUCUAGUUGUCUGGGUAUUGUCGGUAAUAUAUGCAGCCAUUGAUUACAACGUACUCAUGAAAAACCAUA